UUAAAUUGAAGAGUUUGAUCAUGGCUCAGAUUGAACGCUGGCGGCAGGCCUAACACAUGCAAGUCGAACGGUAGCACAGA
rnacentral:rRNA from 9 species